rnacentral:rRNA from 1 species
CCUACGGGUGGCAGCAGGCGAGAAUCAUUCACAAUGGGGGAAACCCUGAUGGGGCGACGCCGCGUGGGGGAAUGAAGGUCUGCGGAUUGUAAACCCCUGUCAUGUGGGAGCAAAUUAAAAAGAUAGUACCACAAGAGGAAGAGACGGCUAACUCUGUGCCAGCAGCCGCGGUAAUACAGAGGUCUCAAGCGUGGUUCGGAAUCACUGGGCGUAAAGGGUGCGUAGGCGGUUUCGUAAGUCGUGUGUGAAAGGCGCGGGCUCAACCCGCGGACGGCACAUGAUACUGCGAGACUAGAGUAAUGGAGGGGGAACCGGAAUUCUCGGUGUAGCAGUGAAAUGCGUAGAUAUCGAGAGGAACACUCGUGGCGAAGGCGGGUUCCUGGACAUUAACUGACGCUGAGGCACGAAGGCCAGGGGAGCGAAAGGGAUUAGAUACCCCUGUAGUC